GCGCUAGAGCGCCACAGUUAGAAUGACUGCUAAUACCCGAUGUGCCGUUUGGUGAAAUAUUAAUAGCCUGAAGAGGAGCUCGCGUCCGAUUAGCUAGUUGGUGGGGUAAGAGCCUACCAAGGCAGCGAUCGGUAGCUGGUCUGAGAGGAUGAGCAGCCACACUGGGACUGAGACACGGCCCAGACUCCUACGGGAGGCAGCAGUGGGGAAUUUUCCGCAAUGGGCGAAAGCCUGACGGAGCAAUACCGCGUGAGGGAGGAAGGCUUUUGGGUUGUAAACCUCUUUUAAUAAGGAAGAAGAAAGUGACGGUACUUAUUGAAUAAGCAUCGGCUAACUCCGUGCCAGCAGCCGCGGUAAUACGGAGGAUGCAAGCGUUAUCCGGAAUCAUUGGGCGUAAAGCGUCCGCAGGUGGCCCAUCAAGUCUGCUGUCAAAGACAGAAGCUCAACUUCUGGUCGGCAGUGGAAACUGGUGAGCUAGAGUACGGUAGGGGUUGAGGGAAUUCCCAGUGUAGCGGUGAAAUGCGUAGAUAUUGGGAAGAACACCAGUGGCGAAGGCGCUCAACUGGGCCGUAACUGACACUCAGGGACGAAAGCUAGGGUAGCGAAAGGGAUUAGAUACCCCUGUAGUCAAGGACUC
rnacentral:rRNA from 1 species